CUUUGAAAAAGAUUAUAUUUCAUUCCCCCUCCCCCAUUCCUGUGUUUUGUCCGUAAGCAUCCUUUUCCCCACUUCCCUAGGGCACCCGCCUUUCCGGAAAUGCCCGAGCCCAGCGGGCAGCCUCCACAUCCCAGGGAGGUAGAACUGGGGCAAAAAGGCUGUGGCAGCACAGCCGGGCCUGGGGCUGGCGUUGGGGCCAGAGCCGGAGCCUUAGCCGCCAGGCGGCCCGGCUGCCGCAGAGACGCGCAUUUCGGGGAGGGGAGGAGGGUGCUAUGCAAAUGAGGCUGCGGCGUGCGCCCCGCCCCCUUACCCAGGGGCCCUCGGGUUGCCAAAACAGACCAUUCCCCAGAACAGUCGCCUAGAAACGGGCGCUGUCAUAGCAGCCUCUCUAGCGGCGAGCCAGCGGCGCUGCCAGGAGGAGCUGGGUCAGGGUGUUCAGACCUCCUCAGCAUCCCCUCUCCGCUGAGUCUCUACCUCAGGGAAGGGAGUGGUGCCUUGGGCCUCUCCUUGGAGCAGGGGAGGGCACUAAUUGGAUUGGAACACUGCAGAAACACAUCAGCUGCUUCUCCCUGGGGGAAAGGAGUGGGGGUUGGGGGGAGGCUGCAGACAGUCUUUGUGAUGUCGGCUCUCAGCCUCACCCUCCCGGCCGCCACGCCCUGACCUGGUCCUCACCAGCCUCUGCCCACCCUAGGACACAAUAGCAAGCUCUUCGUGGCGUGGAGGGUUAGACAUCCAUCAAAUAAUGGCCAAAAUGAAAUCCAGCCGUGAUAGGAGUUUCUGUGUGGAGCAGAGGUUAAGGACCUGGCAUGAUCACUGCAGCGACUGGGACGUGGCUUUGGCGUGGGUUUGAUCCCUGGCCUGGGAACUUCUGCAUGCUGGGGAGUCGGCAAAAAAAGACAAGACAAGAAAUCCAGCCAUGAUAAGGAGGGAAUGCUGCUUGUAUCAUCAUAAAAGAGCUGUCAGAGACCCAGACCUAGAAGAUCUCAAAGUCCAGCAGCAGAUCAGCACAGGGAAGAUAGAAGCCAACUCUGAACAGCAGGGCUUCCAAGCCAGUAUGAGCUACGGAGAGGCCAUGACUCUGAACUCAGAUCCCGCUGUCUCAGCUAGCCUGCCCUGCCCACCAGCAGAAAGCCUGCCUUCUCUUUCCUUCCCCUGAACCCCACACCCAAGGCUGUGCCCACCACUCCAGGCAUGUACUUGGCUCAUCCUGCCUUGUGAUAUUGUUCCUAUUGUUACCCAACAAUCCUACUUCAUCUUGAGCAGGGAUGACACGCACCUUCAUGACUCAUCCCAUAGUGCUCUGCCCUCUCUCAGCUCUGGACUUCCAGCGGCGCUGUCUGUCCCUUGGCUGUCGAGCACCAAACCUUGCUCUGCAGCUAUUUUUCACAUGGGCUGGUCCCAUCACCCAGCGUAGACUCAGCUCCAUGGAGGCUGAGAUUGCAAUUUAUGCGAUUUUGCAAUCACCAUUCCUAGCAGCUUUGCAGGAUGUUGGAUUUUUAUGAUAUGACUAUAGAAGAUGAGAAUCAUGUGGUCUUCUUUUCACUUUGAUGACAUCUCCGUGGUAAAAUAAUAAGCGUUUUGGGGGGAGGGGGGACUGCACCUGCAGUGUGCAGAAGAAUCAAACCCAUACUGCAGCAGCAAUCCGAGACACAGCACUGACAAUGCCAGAUCCUUAACCCUCUGCGCCACCAGGGAACUCCAGAAUUAUAAGAUUUUUCGGGCAGACUCCUUUUUCCUUCCUUCCUCCCUCCAUCCUUUCUUCCUUCCUUCAUUUACCCAUUGAUUCAGCACUUAAUAAAUAUGCAUUAUGUGUCAGGCACUGUGCCAAAUACUAGAAAUAAAAAGCCACGAAAUCCUCUUAAGGUGUUCAUAGUUUAACAGGAAGAAACAGAUAGAUAGGCAAACAAAUGGGAAAAAAGUGGUAAAAGAGCUCUGAUAGGCAAGUGGGGAAGAGCGUGGCUGGUUUAGGGGGUAGAACAGUCACUUCCACAGGAAUCAUAUCAAGUGCUUAUUCUAGGACAGCUCUGUCCUCAGUACUUAACGUGUUCAUUCCUUUAGUUCUCGCAAUAGCAGCAAGGCAAGUGCUAUCAUUCCCCCUAAUUUACGCUGACAAAACUAAAGCCCAGAUGGGGUUAAUGUCUCACGGGAUUUCACCCUGUGAGCUGCAGGGCUGGGAUGGGCACCCGGGCCUCUCUGCUCUAAUGUCAGCGAGGGCAACUCUCACGUGGUACUGCCCAGAGCGGAUCCUGGAAAGGUGAGCAAGUGAUCAGCAGUGUGCAGGGGAGGCCUCCACAGGCCGGGGCAUGGAGUGGCUCGUGCCACUUCUGCUCCUCUGUUCAGCUGGGACAUGGGUGCAGAGGAGCGCAGUGUGGUGCGGGGGCAGUCACUCAGUGACGGAUG
rnacentral:lncRNA from 9 species